rfam:Clostridium sticklandii str. DSM 519 chromosome, complete genome.
AGGGGCGUAGUUCAGUGGUAGAACGUCGGUCUCCAAAACCGAAUGCCGUGGGUUCAAAUCCUGCCGCCCCUG